GGCUCAGAACGAACGCUGGUAGCGUGGAUUAGGCAUGCAAGUCGAACGGGAUCAGCCGGUUAGCAAUAAUUGGCUGUGAGAGUGGCGGAUUGGGGAGGAACACGUGAGCAACCUGCCCUUGAGUUGGGGAAAACCGUUGGAAACGACGGCUAAUACCGGAUGUGGCGCCUGGUGACAUCACCGGAGCGCUAAAGGGGGCCGCAAGGCUCCCGCUCGAGGAGGGGCUCGCGCACCAUCAGCUUGUUGGCGGGGUAACGGCCCACCAAGGCAUACGGUUAGCUGGUCUGAGAGGAUGACCAGCCCCACUGGGACUGAGAUACUGCCCAGACUCCUACGGGAGGCUGCAGUCGAGGAUCAUUUGCAAUGGGCGAAAGCCUGACAAUGCGACGCUGCCGUGGAGGAUGAAGGCCUUCGGGUUGUAAACUCCUGUCAUGAGGGAACAGGCGAGGGUACCCAAUACGUACCUUAGUUGAGUGUACUUCAAGAGGAAGGGACGGCUAACUCUGUGCCAGCCGCGGC
rnacentral:rRNA from 1 species